UCCGGAGGAGGCAAUCGUUAUCUGGAAUUAUUGGGCGUAAAGCGUCCGUAGGUGGUUGACCAAGUCUGCUGUCAAAGGGUGGGGCUUAACCUCAUAAAGGCAGUGGAAACUGGUGAGCUAGAGUGCGGUAGGGGUAAGGGGAAUUCCCAGUGUAGCGGUGAAAUGCGUAGAGAUUGGGAAGAACAUCGGUGGCGAAAGCGCCUUGCUGGGCCUGCACUGACACUGAGGGACGAAAGCUAGGGGAGCGAAAGGG
rnacentral:rRNA from 1 species